rnacentral:rRNA from 1 species
CAGUAGCCGCGGUAAUACGUAGGGCGCAAGCGUUGUCCGGAAUUAUUGGGCGUAAAGAGCUCGUAGGCGGUCUGUCGCGUCUGGUGUGAAAUCCCGAGGCUCAACCUCGGGCUUGCAUCGGGUACGGGCAGACUAGAGUGCGGUAGGGGAGACUGGAAUUCCUGGUGUAGCGGUGGAAUGCGCAGAUAUCAGGAGGAACACCGAUGGCGAAGGCAGGUCUCUGGGCCGCAACUGACGCUGAGGAGCGAAAGCAUGGGGAGCGAACAGGAUUAGAUACCCCAGUAGUCCCUGUCUCUUAUAC